rnacentral:rRNA from 1 species
UGGAGAGUUUGAUCCUGGCUCAGGACGAACGCUGGCGGCGUGCUUAACACAUGCAAGUCGAACGGUGAAGCUCAAGCUUGCUUGGGUGGAUCAGUGGCGAACGGGUGAGUAACACGUGAGCAACCUGCCCCGGACUCUGGAAUAAGCGCUGGAAACGGCGUCUAAUACUGGAUAUGACACCAAUCCGCAUGGGUAUGGUGUGGAAAGUUUUUCGGUCUGGGAUGGGCUCGCGGCCUAUCAGCUUGUUGGUGAGGUAAUGGCUCACCAAGGCGACGACGGGUAGCCGGCCUGAGAGGGCGACCGGCCACACUGGGACUGAGACACGGCCCAGACUCCUACGGGAGGCAGCAGUGGGGAAUAUUGCACAAUGGGCGAAAGCCUGAUGCAGCGACGCCGCGUGAGGGAUGACGGCCUUCGGGUUGUAAACCUCUUUCAGCAGGGAAGAAGCGAAAGUGACGGUACCUGCAGAAAAAGCACCGGCUAACUACGUGCCAGCAGCCGCGGUA